rnacentral:rRNA from 1 species
CUACGUAGGUGGCGAGCGUUGUUCGGAUUUAUUGGGCGUAAAGGGUCCGCAGGUGGUUGGAUAAGUUCGACGUGAAAUCCCAGAGCUCAACUCUGGAACUGCGUUGAAAACUGUCUGACUGGAGUAUCGGAGAGGAGAUUGGAAUUCCAGGUGUAGCGGUGGAAUGCGUAGAUAUCUGGAAGAACACCGAAAGCGAAGGCAGAUCUCUGGACGAUAACUGACACUCAGGGACGAAAGUAUGGGGAUCAAACAGGAUUAGAUACCCUGGUAGUCCAUACCCUAAACGUUGUCAACUUGAUGUGAGAAGUAGUUUACUCCUUUUCGUGUCGAAGCAAACGCGAUAAGUUGACCGCCUGGGAACUACGGCCGCAAGGCUAAAACUCAAAGGAAUUGACGGG